ensembl:lncRNA TSC22D1-AS1 TSC22D1 antisense RNA 1
ACUGGCAGCCAUGGAGCCCGAGCAUUUUCCUCCCUCAGGGCAGGCGCCUCGACUCGGCACACGUCCUCGGGGAGGAAGGGGCCGGCACCCGAGCCUCUCCGGAGGGCGGCGGGACGUGCGCUAGGGCGGAGGGUGCGACCCUCUCUUAUCCUCUUCCUCCGCAGCCGGCUCUUCCUCACCCCGCUGCUCCCGCGACCGGGCGGGAGAGGGCCGCAGGCGGCGGCGGCUCCUUUCUCCGCGGCGUUGGUGGCCAGACGGGCUGGUGCAGCGACUGCAGCCGACGCCGUUCAAAGGAACGAGGUGGAUCCCAGCAAGAUGACUUCUACCCUACAAAGAGGUUGAGAAUCCUGUUUCAAAUGCUGGAUGGAUCCCUGUGAAUCUGUCACUUUAAGAAGGGAGACUGCCCAGUGAAAGCAGUGGAAAGAAAAAGAGCGUUAAAAGAAACUGCAAAGGAUAUUGAAAUAUUGAAAGGAUAUUGAAACUUGGGAGCCCUUAUUUAUGGGAUAAAGCUGUCAGGAAAUUAAACUAGAAUCAACAUUUGACAGCUUGCUUUGUUGUAAGAAUACGGUACACAGGCUGGGCACGGUGGCUCACACCUAUAAUCCCAGCACUUUGGGAGGCCAAGGCAGGCGGAUCACCUGAGGUCGGGAGUUCGAGACCAGCCUGACCAACAUGGAGAAAGCCCAUCUCUACUAAAAAUACAAGAUUAGCCGGGCUUGGUGGCACAUGCCUGUAAUCCCAGCUACUUGGGAGGCUGAGGGGUGUCCAGGCCAGGCGCGGUGGCUCAUGCCUGCAAUCCCAGCACUUUGGGAGGCCGAGGCAGGUGGAUCACCUGAGGUCAGGAGUUUGAGACCAGCCUGGUCAACAUGGGGAAACCCUAUCUCUACUAAAAAUACAAAAGCUUAGCCAGGCAUGAUGGCGGGAGCCUGUAAUCCCAGCUACUUGGGAGGCUAAGGCAGGAAAAUCACUUGAACCCGGGAGGCGGAAGUUGCAGGGAGCCGAUAUAGUGACAAUGCACUCCAGCCUGGGCUUCAGAGUGAGACUCUGUCAAAAAAACAAAAAACAAACAAACAAAACACCAGGGGCAUCCAAUCUUUUGGAUUCCCUGGACCACAUUGGAAGAAGAAUUGUCUUCACCCACACAUAAAAUACACUAAAUACUAACUAUAGCUGAUGAGCUAAAAAAAAAAAAAUCUCAUAAUGUUUUAAGAAAGUUUAUGAACUUGUGUUGGGCUGCGUUCAAAGCCAUCCUGGGCUGCACGUGGCCCACAGGCCACAGGUUGGACAAGCUUGUCUUAAGACAUUAGUGCCUUUUGAACAAUGGGCUUAAGAUGGUAGAACUUUCUAGAAUAGAGCUCCUCAUAGGGUUGUUCUACAACAUUUAAAUUAGAUUCUUCCUGAGGCAAACUGGUCACCUGAUCACCUUAAAGCAUCUCUGGGACUCUCAAUGCCCAAAAUUCUUGUGCUCUGAGUUCUGAAUUUCAUGUGGGUAUUUUAAGCAGCUGUGCCUUUAUAAUGAUAUAAAUGCCACACUCCUCACAAUGGCUAGCUUUUCAGCAUAGUAAAUGUCAUCUCUGGUUUUCUUUCUCAUAAAGAACAUUUCCACAUGAAAAUUGCCACCUUUGGGCUAUGCUUUUUGCUAAGUUCAGACCUUAUAUGUAAUAGGGGUAGGCUCUUACUUAUAUCAUCUAAUUUUUCAGGGCUCUAAAAAAAAUUCAUAAAACCUCCAUUGACUGGUAAUGACAGAUGAGUUCUAAGACCAAAUUCAGGUUAUGCAGGAAAAGGUGCUAUAGGGAAGGCGUUGAACUCUGCUAUAAUGCAAUUACACCAGGAAGAAAAAUCUGAACUGUUGACAGUCAUUUGUACCUUCCUGAGAAUGAAACUCCAAAAGCAGAGGGAAAGCAGGAGAGGAGAGAGAAUCAACAGGACACGCGCACCCUGUGAGGAAGAGUUAUGCGGUAAGGGGAGGUCAAAGACCUUCACUGUUGUGGCUAGCGAUGAAAAUAAAACAACAUGUUACCAGAACGGAAUUGUCCAAGAGUAUUCCAAGGUUGGAACUGAGAUCAUCGCAGGACAAUGACUGCCCAUUCUUCCUGGCCCCAGCACUUAUUGCAGCACUUGGAACAUAGUGACAGCUCAGCAAAUGUUGGCAUUUUUAAUGAAUAACUAUUUGUUGUGUGUGUGUGUGUGUUUUUUUUUUAGCAAUUAAGAAAAACCUCUUUACACUGACAAGAUAUAAUUCUCUGGGCCAAUAAUUUUAGGAACAGAGACAUUUGAAUCAAAGGUGUGAAGAAAUGAACACGUUUUUUGCUUUCCCUUCAUGAGAGCCUAGGUUCCAAACAUGCUUCCCUUGAUUGAACAAGCUGAACCAAUCCAGAUGGCCUGGGGGAUAGUAGGUGAAAAUAGUAGCAACCAGAGCUUGUUUUAGAGUAUUUUCUCAUUGCAUUUAACGUUCAAAAGAAAGCUCACAGUCACUUCCCUUACAGAACACCCCCAUCACACAACGACAUACACACGCAUACACAGGUCCGUGGAUGUCUCCCUUUAAUAAUAUUUUACAGCUAACAAAGAGAUUGUGUAUGCCAGGAAAUGGAGGCCCAGAGAGGUGAGGUGAAAUGCCUCUACAGUCCCAUCUAGAAUAUGACAAUAUUUCUUAAACACAAGCCCAGUGUUUUCCCCAAUGUACAAAUAAUAAAAUUCUAGAAAUACUGUCUGGAUGCACAGUCCCAAUCUACCUAGGUUUCUGUACAUCUCAUAAUAGCAAUAAUGCUAGAAAUCUUGAAGUGAAAGUUUUAUUUUAUUUUUUAUUUUUUUGUGGAGAUGGGGUCUCAAUAUUCCUGGCCUCAAUCAAUCCUCCCACCUCAGCCUCCCACAUUGUUGGGAUUACAGGUGUGGGCCACAGUACCUGGCAGAAAAGAAAGAUAUUUAAAUGGAAUUGAAGUAGGCUCUACUGGGCCCUUAAUUUAAGGGGCACAGUGGGAGGUUAGCAGGAAUUUCAAACAGUUCACCAUGGUUUGCCUACUUUUCCAUAUUGUUGCUUCCUUCUGCUCAGUGACUGAGUCACAGUUGUUUCACCGCCUCAUAACAUGUUAAAUUCCCUUUCAUCUUAGGAGUACUCUGCAGUUGCCAUUUGAGACUAUGGUCUCGCUAAUCAGAGCCAGAAUUUGUCAUCCGUCAUUUGCUAUGUGUCCUUAUCUAUUAAUACUAGACUCUGGGAAUAUAGAAGGAGACUUCAGUGUUCUCCAUGGUACUCAGAUGUGAAGAUCUAUGUGAGGACUUCUCCAUUACUGAAGGGUACAUACCAUGUAUCAUAAGAUACCAAUAACCAACAGAAAGGAGAUAAAGUCACGGGUAAGCCUGAGGACAAAACCCUGUAACUGGUUGUAAAUGUAACAUAAGCAGGUUUCUCUUCUUCUCUCUUUAGAUCAGAGGUUAGCAAACUUUUUCUACAAGAGGGCCUGAUAUUAAGUAUUUCAGCUUUGCGGGUCACACCACCUAUGUCACAAGUCUUUGAUUCUACCAUUGCAGCAGAAAACUACUUAGGCAAUACAGAAAUGAAUGGACGUGGCUGGAUUUGGCCCAUGAGCCAUAGUUUGGCAACCCCUGCUCUAGAUGAUAAUCAUAAAUAACAUUUUGAGUGCUAUAUACCAGGUACACUAUCUUACUUAAUCUUCUCAGCAAUUCUAUGAAGUGACUGCUCUUAUUUUCAUUCCCAGGUUACAUAUGUAAAGUUUAAGUCUUAUAUAGAUUAAACAAAGCUGCUUCUUAUCAAAUAGCUAGAAAUCUACAUAACCAGGAUUUUGAUCCCUGGUUGGCUGUAAUAAAAAUCAAGGGCUAUCCUUGAUUCUUUAAAGGGAAGAGAGUUGCGGUGGUAAUGCACAGAAAGGAGCUAACUGAGGGGGAGUUGGAAAAGAAGUUGGGAGAUGGAAAGAGUAUUGAACUGCUAAUCUUUGGUUGAUGUUCAUUCCUCCGAGCUGGACUUGCGAUGUUCCAUCACCUCCUUUGAGACAGGAGAUGCCAUGAAGUCAGUCUUGCCUACUCCCAAAUUCUGUAUGCAGGAGACUGGAUCUUGCUCUGUUGUCCAGGCUGUAAUGCUGUGGCAUGAUCAGAGUUCACUGCAGUCUGGAACCCCAAAGAUCAAGUGAUCCUUCUGCCUCAGCCUCCUGAG